rnacentral:rRNA from 1 species
AUUGAACGCUGGCGGCAGGCCUAACACAUGCAAGUCGAACGGUAACAGGGAUCAGCUUGCUGAUUCGCUGACGAGUGGCGGACGGGUGAGUAAUGUCUGGGAAACUGCCUGCUGGAGGGGGAUAACUACUGGAAACGGUAGCUAAUACCGCAUAACGUCGCAAGACCAAAGAGGGGGACCUUCGGGCCUCUUGCCAUCGGAUGUGCCCAGAUGGGAUUAGCUAGUAGGUGGGGUAACGGCUCACCUAGGCGACGAUCCCUAGCUGGUCUGAGAGGAUGACCAGCCACACUGGAACUGAGACACGGUCCAGACUCCUACGGGAGGCAGCAGUGGGGAAUAUUGCACAAUGGGCGCAAGCCUGAUGCAGCCAUGCCGCGUGUAUGAAGAAGGCCUUCGGGUUGUAAAGUACUUUCAGCGGGGAGGAAGGGAGUAAAGUUAAUACCUUUGCUCAUUGACGUUACCCGCAGAAGAAGCACCGGCUAACUCCGUG